rnacentral:lncRNA from 1 species
UGGGAGGCCGAGGCGGGUGGAUCACCUGAGGUCAGGAGUUCGAGACCAGCCUGGCCAACGUGGUGAAAUCCUGUCUCUACUAAAAAUACAAAAAUUAGCCGGGCGUGAUGGUGGGCACCUGUAGUCCCAGCUACUUGGAAGGCUGAGGCAGGAGAAUCGCUUGAACCNNNNNNNNNNNNNNNNNNNNNNNNNNNNNNNNNNGCCAUUGCACUCCAGCCUGGGUGACAAGAGUGAAACUCUGUCUCGAAAAAAAAAAAAAAACAAACAAGGAAUUAUCUUGAUCUGUUGAAACAAAACUACUUCAAGUUGGAACUAGUCUUAAAUUUUUUGACCAUAAAAGAAAAAAAAAAACAAAGAAUUGUCUUGAUCGAGGUGGUACAGGGUCAAUAGAAGCCGAUCAAAAUGGCAUUUGGCUUUGGAGGGGCAGUUCAGUGUUUACAAGGCAUCUGGGAAGCUUGUAAGAUGCAGAUUCCUGGGCUCCAACCACAAAGCAUCCGACUCUGUGGGACCACAACAGGGUCCGAGACUCUGCACUGCAAUAGCUCACACCUGAAUCUGGUGGAGAGGAACAAUAAAAUAAAUGUGACUGGCCAGGUGUGGUGGCUCAUGCCACCUGUAAUUUCAGCACUUUGGGAGGGAGAGGUGGGAGUAUUGCUUGAGCCCAGAAGUUCGAGAGCAACCUGGGCCACAUAGUAAGACUCCCAUCUCUACAAAAAAAAAAAAAAAAAAAUCGAAAAACAUUAUCUGGGCAUGGUGGUGCGUACCUGUAGUCCUAGCUACUCAGGAGGCUGAGGUGGGAGGAUUGCUUAAGCCCAGAAGUUCAAGGCUGCAGUAAGCUAUGAUUAUGCCAUUGCACUCCAGCUUGGGCAACAGAGUGAGAUUCUGUCUCUAUAAAUAAAUACAUAAUAAAUAAGUGGGGCUGCUUGAGGGCAGAGACCAUGAUCCUCAUGAGCCCACAUUAACCAGUCUGUGCCUAGCACAUAGGAGGUGCUCAUACAUGAUUUCUGAAUGAAUACUUAAAUUAAUGAAUGGUUGCCAGUGUUAUGAUACACUCUUCAAAUACAGCAACUUGGGCCAGGAGUGGUGGCUCACGCCUAUAAUCCCAGCACUUUGGGAGGCCGAGGCAGGAGGAUCACUUGACGUCAGCUGCUCAAGAUCAGCCUGGCCAACAUGGUGAAACCGUGUCUCUACUAAAAAUACAAAAAUUAGCUGGGCGUGGUGGCAGGUGCCUGUAAUCCCAGCUACUCAGGGGACUGAAGCAAGAGAAUCAC